UACGGAGGGGGCAAGCGUUGUCCGGAUUUAUUGGGCGUAAAGAGCGUGUAGGCGGUUUGGUAGGUCCGUUGUGAAAACUCGAGGCUCAACCUCGAGACGCCGAUGGAAACCAUCUAACUAGAGUCCGGAAGAGGAGAGUGGAAUUCCUGGUGUAGCGGUGAAAUGCGCAGAUAUCAGGAAGAACACCCGUGGCGAAGGCGGCUCUCUAGUACGGUACUGACGCUGAGACGCGAAAGCGUGGGGAGCGAACAGG
rnacentral:rRNA from 1 species